ensembl:snoRNA
GCUGUUCUGGAUCUGCAGCACCGCAGGCACAGCAGCUGCGCUGUGUCCAUGACAUUUUAGCAGAGAGCAAGUGGCUAUUUCUACAAUCAGUUUUCAGAAACCAGUAAGCACUGAGAAUGUUUUACAGCCUGACAUUU